AGGAGCGCAUCUCUGCCCUGAAAGCAACUUUCCUCUCGGACUUGCCCGGUUGAACCCCGCCCUUCAAACCCCCAACUUGAUUUGGAAAGCAGCCGGUCUCCACGGAUGCACUAGGCAGUUUCCACCUAGGUUACGAAGGAUGGCGGCACGUUUCGAACCACGUGCUUCUCCCCACAAGUGCCGCUUCGGACUCCCACCACCAGAACCCCAGUUUGCACAGGUGCAGGAGACAGAGCCAGAGGAUAGCCCCCAGAAACCAGCGUUACCUUUCCACGCUUCCCACCGCCGUUCCUCCUCCCAUCCCAGGAUCCAGCCUGAGUCUGGAGCUCCAUCCAAGCAUCUUUCUUGGCGCCCGACUCCUCCAGGGUGGCUGAAUGGAGAGCCCCACCCUACCCCCGGCGGUGCUCCAGCACCAGUAAGAGACAUUAAUUACCUCUGGUGCUUCUUGAGCUAGCACCUCUUACAGCUUCCAGGUUCCUAGGUCGAAAAAGGGUCGGAUCCAGCAGAUGGUGCGGGAGGCCGCAGAGGAGCUGUCUGGAGAACAGAAACAGCUUGCCAAGGGCAGGAUUGGUUUCGGGAGUCGCUGUCCUGCAAGCUGGCACGGAGAAACUCGUGAGCGCCUGUGUCUGCCUGGAAUAUUGCACGGGAUGCUGGCGUGUGGUUCCUGGGGCGCCUGUGAAUGUAUGUAUGUAUGUAUGUGUGCGUGCGUGUUAUGUGAAUGUGUGUAUGUGCAUGUCUGUGUGUGUGCGUGCGUGUGUGUAUGUGUGUAUGUGCUUGUGUGUAUGUGUGUGUGUGUGUAUGAGUGAGGGUGUGACGGAGGCUCCCACGUGCCCAACCAGCUAGUGCUGCGUCCCCCCGACAGGCUGCGGGGGAGAGGGGGUGGCUGCGGGCGGGGACACGGCGCCAAGGAUCGAGCCAGGUCUGCAGGCUGGGAGCCGCCUCUCCCAUCACCCAUGACGCAGAGUCCACUGCGGCUGCCCGCUGCGUCCUCCCAGCGCACAGAGCUAGGCCCGCGGCGGGAUAUUGGGUGGAUCUGGGGAAGCCCCACGUAGAGCCAACAAAACAAGUUGGACAACCCCUCCCCAACACCUCCGCCAUUCUAACGUCUGUCUUCUAACCCACUCAGCUAAAAGGCAACGCUAACAACUGCAAUUGUCCUGUUCUGCCACUUUGCUGGAAUCUGUAAGAAGUCUAGCCAGAGGUAAAGGAUUCUGGGCUUUCUGCCUCUCCAGCCCCCCAUACCAUCUAUUUACAUAUUUUGUGAAAGAAAAGCUUUGGAUCUUUGCUUCUCAGCUGAGUCCCGACAGCCUCAAGGAUCCCAGCGAGGUUGUGUAAAGUGGUAUUAGGGAACUAAUCCUCACUUUAGGUCUGUGCCUAUGUAGCAGAUUCUCCUUCAAAGGAUCUCUACCAGCUAAAGACUGACUUACCUCUUCCAAUAGUCAAAGCAUGCUUUCAACUAAGCCACGUGGAGAAUCCUUAAACUAUGCAUGGAUGAACACAAAGCUUUGCCUCUGUAAAAAUAACUGAACUCCUCCUUAAGCAGGACAAGACAUAAAAUUUAUGAUCGUUGACACUUGAAAUUUUUCAAGGAAAUGCAAAAGGAACCUAGAACAUAUUACAGGAGGAUGGGUUUCAUUCUUCAGCGAGGUACAUUUCAUCAUUUUUAAGAUAAUUAACAUGUCAAUAAACGUUAUCGUUUGUAGGCCUUCCAAGGACUCUCUCAAGUUUUCUUUUUGGACAUCAAGAACAAGCCAUUAUUAGGGACAUCACUAUAUAUUUUGUGACAGUUGGCUGGUUACAUGCUUUUAGAGUAGAAUUCAGUUAUCAGUGGAGUCAUGUAAGUAAGGGAUGUAAACUUCAGUGUGUAGAGUUCCCAAGGAAAAUAUUCUUAGGUUUUAAUGGCUUGUAUCCAAUUAAGAUUAACUUUAGUAGUGAAGCCACUGUUGGAGAUGUUCUCAUAAAGUGAGGAAUAUCUUUCAAAGGAAUCACAAGAACCUAGAUUUCAGGUAAGAACAUUGCCACUAAUCCUUUUCAAAGAACCGAGAGAUUUUUCCACCAGCCUGUCUUCAAAUUCACU
rnacentral:lncRNA from 1 species